rnacentral:rRNA from 1 species
GACGAACGCUGGCGGCGCGCCUAACACAUGCAAGUCGAACGGAGCUUUGAGAGCUUGCUUUUAAAGCUUAGUGGCGAACGGGUGAGUAACGCGUGAGUAACCUGCCCUGGAGUGGGGGACAACAGUUGGAAACGACUGCUAAUACCGCAUGAGAUCUACGGAUGAAAGCAGGGGAUCGCAAGACCUUGUGCUACUAGAGCGGCCGAUGGCAGAUUAGGUAGUUGGUGGGAUAAAAGCUUACCAAGCCAACGAUCUGUAGCUGGUCUGAGAGGACGAUCAGCCACACUGGGACUGAGACACGGCCCAG